GUAGUAUUCUUCCAUGACCUCUGCUUCUGUUCCUUCCUUUAGUUUCCUGCCUUGAAUUUCUGCCCUGACUUCCCUCAGUGAUGGACUGGGACAUGUACUGCCACCACUGCUGACUCCUGUUUGCUAUCCUGACACUACCAAACUUGAGUGCUGGUGUAUCCAUGAAGUGUUUGUGAGUGGAUCGAGCUGCCACUGUUGACCUGUGAACCGAACUGCUGAUUUCCUGACAACAUGGAUGGGAGUUGCUCCAAAGAACUAUUUCUAAACAGGUCCACUUCCCCCAAAUCCUUUCUUUCCCACUAUCCUUGGUGGGUGGUGGUCUAGAAGGGAGGUUAAAGCAUUUAAGAACCAUCAUUAAACGUAGACUUUGAAAAACUGAAAGUUAUACCAGCAACUAUUGGCUGUAUAUAAAUCUGAGAGGAGCAAGGCCCCAGAAGGUUGUCCACCCUGCUCUCACAGGUAAUGAUGGCUCUGUCCAGUUUAGGAGUGCAAUGGCCAACGGUCACAUCACAGUCAGAGCCCAUGUUCCAUACCAUGAAUUUAUUCUUUAGUAAGGAACCUGCUCAAAUGAUAAUGGUAUUGGCUCAUUCAUAAGGCAGACAGCGCUUGUGGGCAAGUCACUUCUUCAAGGCCCUAGUUCUUUACUGUGUUGCAUGGGUGAUUAAAUGUCAACCUGAAUUUGGGAAUGUACAAGCAUUCAAACCAUGGCGGUGACAGUUGCUGUCUAUGCUCAGGCAAGCCCUUGAAGGUUUUUCUGCCUUGGAAUGUCUUCCUACUGCAUCCUCUCUCCUGUUGAUGUUCCUCAAAGCAGCUGUCAGCAAGAGCAGGUAACAUCAGUAAUUGUGAAGAGGAAGCCAAAUACACCCAACAAGUGCGUGCUGGGACACCGUGCUACCUGUUCCUUCUGCCUUCUUGAAUUUCUUAUAACAGGUAGGGAAUGAGAGCAGAUCUCUGUGGAGUU
rnacentral:lncRNA from 1 species